rnacentral:rRNA from 1 species
UGGAGAAGUUUGAUCCUGGCUCAGAUUGAACGCCGGCGGCAGGCCUAACACAUGCAAGUCGAGCGGAUGAGAAGAGCUUGCUCUUCGAUUCAGCGGCGGACGGGUGAGUAAUACCUAGGAAUCUGCCUGGUAGUGGGGGACANCGUUUCGAAAGGAACGCUAAUACCGCAUACGUCCUACGGGUAGAAAGCAGGGGACCUUCGGGCCUUGCGCUAUCAGAUGAGCCUAGGUCGGAUUAGCUAGUUGGUGAGGUAAUGGCUCACCAAGGCUACGAUCCGUAACUGGUCUGAGAGGAUGAUCAGUCACACUGGAACUGAGACACGGUCCAGACUCCUACGGGAGGCAGCAGUGGGGAAUAUUGGACAAUGGGCGAAAGCCUGAUCCAUGCCAUGCCGCGUGUGUGAAGAAGGUCUUCGGAUUGUAAAGCACUUUAAGUUGGGAGGAAGGGCAGUACAGCGAAUCACCUCGCUGUUUUGACGUUACCACAGAAUAAGCACCGGCUAACUCUGUGCCAGCAGCCGCGGUA